rnacentral:rRNA from 1 species
AACGUCGUGAGACAGUUCGGUCCCUAUCUGCCGUGGGCGUAUGAGAUUUGAGAGGAGCUGCUCCUAGUACGAGAGGACCGGAGUGAACGAACCUCUGGUGUUCGGGUUGUCACGCCAGUGGCAUUGCCGGGUAGCUAUGUUCGGAAAGGAUAACCGCUGAAGGCAUCUAAGCGGGAAGCCCCCCUCAAAACAAGGUAUCCCUGAGGACCGUGGUAGACCACCACGUCGAUAGGCCAGAGAUGUAAGUGCAGCAAUGCAUUCAGUUGA